rnacentral:lncRNA from 1 species
UUAUCCUCACCUUUAAUGAAGGAUAAAAAACGUUUAUAACAUUUUGAUUAACUUUGACAAAAAAAUAAAUAAAUGGUUAACUAAUCUAAAUUUAAAACAUCAACUUUAAAUCCUAAAUCAUCAACUGUAAACCCUAAACCCCGAAACAUAACUCUAAACCCUAAACCCCGAAACAUAACUCUAAACCCUAAACCCCGAAACAUCAACUUUAAACCCUAAACCCUAAACCAUAAACCUUCAAAUCUAAACCCUAAAACAUCAACUCCAAACCCUAAACGUAAACCCUAAACCCUAAAUCUAAACUUAAAACAUCAACUUUAAACCCUAAAUCAUCAACUCUAAACCUUAAACCAUGAAACAUCAAGUCUAAACCCUAAACCCCAAAACAUCAACUCUAAACCCUAAACCUUCAAAUCUAAACCCUAAAACAUCAACUCUAAACCCUAAACGUAAACCCUAAACCCUAUACUUUUCUGAUAUUCGAACCCUAAACCCUAAAACCCUAAACCUUCAAAUCUAAACCCUAAAACAUCAACUCUAAACCAUAAACGCAAACCCUAAACCCUAAAACUCUAAACCUUCAAAUAUAAACCCUAAAACAUCAACUCUAGGGUUUUAGGGUUUAGGGUUUAGGUUUAGGGUUUAGGAUUUAGGGUUUAGGAUUUAGGGUUUAAAUUUUAGUGUUUAGAGUUGAAGGUUUAGGGUUUAGAGUUGAUGUUUUAGGGUUUAGGGUUAAUUUUUUAGGGUUUAGGGUUUAGAGUUUACUUUUUAGGGUUUAAGGUUUAGUGAUGAUAGUUUAGGGUUUAGUGUUGAUGGUUUAGGGCUUAAAGUUUAAGUUUAGGGUUUAGGGUUUAAAGUUGAUGUUUUAGGGUUUAAAGUCGAAGGUUUAGGGUUUAGAGUUGAUGUUUCGGGGUUUAGGGUUUAAAGUUGAUGUUUCGGGGUUUAGGGUUCGUAUUUAAACAAAAUAGUGUUUAAGAUUGAUGGUUUAGGGUUUAGGGUUCGUAUUUCAAAAAAAAUAGGGUUUAGGAUUGAUGGUUUAGGGUUUAGAGUUGAGUUUUAGGGUUUAGAGUUUGAAUUUCGAAAUAGUAUAAUUCGAAAAAAAAUUAAAAAUAUUUAUUAUUUAUAAAUAUGGGAACUUUUAUAAUUAUAUACAUACAUAUAAUUAAACCCUAACAAUAAUCACUAAACCUUAACCCUAUAUAUUAGAGUAGUUUUGAUUAAGUGUAUUUUUGAAAAUGCUAGCAAACUUAUGGUAUUCUAAGAAAGUUUUCUACAUAUAUUUCAAUAUAAUUUUGUUAAAUUUGUAAGUAAUAUUUACAUUUCUGAUAUAUUUUUACUUAAGUUAUAUAAUAAAUGUCAUCACAUUAUUAUUAUUUGUAUCUGUUUAAAAAUAUUAUAUACUACAAUCUAUAUAUCAUUUUUUCUCAAUCAUAUGCUUGUAAACAAUAACUAACUUAUUAAGUAAAUUUAUAAUUUGUUUCACAUAUGUUUAACGACAAGUUACAUCAAAUCAUAACUUUUAUUGUAACUUUAAUGCUAGAUUUACCAAGAAAUUUUAUGAGUUAGUACUUUUUGGUUUUCUAUUAGUCAUCCCAUGUUCACUUUUAUUAAACAAAUUAAAUAAUUUUUGGUACAUGUUAUAAUUGUUUACGUUUACCUUUUCAUUUGUUAAUAAAACAUCAUUAAUAAUUUGAUAUAUCUUUUUAUUUGUUAGUCAAUUGUUUUUACAAAAAAUUUUAAUUUCCAUUUUAAUUAUUCAAACAUAAAUUUUCUUAAAACUUUAGUUUUUAUUUCUUAAAAUUAUAAAAGUUAUAAAACUAAUGUUAUUGAUAUAUAUAUAUAUAUAUAUGGGAACUUUUGUUAUAAAUAUAUAUAUAUAAUUCAAUAUCUUUCGUUAGUUUUCAAGGUAAUAUUUUUAAUUUCUAUAAUCUGUUAUUUUUAUCAAAUUUAUAAUAAAUUUCAUUAAUCUUAUUAUUAUUUGCAGUUGUUUUAAAAAUUAUAACAAUAAAACACUGCAAUUUAGACAUCAAAAGUUACCAAUAAGUUUUUUUUAAAUAGUAACUCAUAUUUUUAUAUCAAACUCACAACGUAAAUCUACAUAUUUUACGAUAUAAUUUUUUUUAACAAAUUACUUAUGAGAAAUUGCCAAAAAUACUAUUUUCAAAGUACUGCUUUUCAUGUUUACACUAACCAUUUUUAUCCUCACCUUUAAUGAAGGAUAAAAAACGUUUAUAACAUUUUGAUUAACUUUGACAAAAAAAUAAAUAAAUGGUUAACUAAUCUAAAUUUAAAACAUCAACUUUAAAUCCUAAAUCAUCAACUGUAAACCCUAAACCCCGAAACAUAACUCUAAACCCUAAACCCCGAAACAUAACUCUAAACCCUAAACCCCGAAACAUCAACUUUAAACCCUAAACCCUAAACCAUAAACCUUCAAAUCUAAACCCUAAAACAUCAACUCCAAACCCUAAACGUAAACCCUAAACCCUAAAUCUAAACUUAAAACAUCAACUUUAAACCCUAAAUCAUCAACUCUAAACCUUAAACCAUGAAACAUCAAGUCUAAACCCUAAACCCCAAAACAUCAACUCUAAACCCUAAACCUUCAAAUCUAAACCCUAAAACAU